rnacentral:tRNA from 1 species
GCCUUCGUGGUGUAGUGGUCAGCACGCUCGGCGCACAUUCGAGAGAUCAGGUCGUUCGAAUCCCGGUGAGGGCA